AGAGUUUGAUCCUGGCUCAGGAUGCUUUCUAGCGACAGGCUUAACACAUGCAAGUCGAGGGGCAGCGGGGGCGAAGCUUGCUUCGCCUGCCGGCGACCGGCGCACGGGUGAGUAACACGUAUGCGACCUGCCCCCCGCAGGGGGAUAACCGGGAGAAAUCCCGACUAAUACCGCGUAACGCCGCGGGGCUGCAUGGCCCCGCGGCCAAAGGAAGCGAUUCCGGCGGGGGAUGGGCAUGCGGCGCAUUAGCUAGUCGGCGGGGUAACGGCCCACCGAGGCGACGAUGCGUAGGGGUUCUGAGAGGAAGGUCCCCCACACUGGUACUGAGACACGGACCAGACUCCUACGGGAGGCAGCAGUGAGGAAUAUUGGUCAAUGGGCGGGAGCCUGAACCAGCCAAGUCGCGUGAGGGAAGACGGUCCUACGGAUUGUAAACCUCUUUUGCCGGGGAGCAACGGGGUCCUUGCGAGGGCCCAAUGAGAGUACCCGGAGAAAAAGCAUCGGCUAACUCCGUGCCAGCAGCCGCGGUAAUACGGAGGAUGCGAGCGUUAUCCGGAUUUAUUGGGUUUAAAGGGUGCGUAGGCGGGCUGUUAAGUCAGCGGUCAAAUGUCGGGGCUCAACCCCGGCCUGCCGUUGAAACUGGCAGUCUCGAGUUGGAGAGAAGUAUGCGGAAUGCGCGGUGUAGCGGUGAAAUGCAUAGAUAUCGCGCUGAACUCCGAUUGCGAAGGCAGCAUGCCGGCUCCACACUGACGCUGAGGCACGAAAGCGUGGGUAUCGAACAGAAUUAGAUACCCUGGUAGUCCACGCAGUAAACGACGCAUGCUGGCUGCCCGGGGGAUUGACCCCCUGGUUGCCAAACAAAAGCCAAAACCCUUUCCACCGGGGGGAGUUACCCGGCAACGGUGAAACUCAAAGGAAUUGACGGGGGCCCGCACAAGCGGAGGAACAUGUGGUUUAAUUCGAUGAUACGCGAGGAACCUUACCCGGGCUCAAACGGGGAGUGACUCAGGCAGAGACGCCUGUUUCCCACGGGACACUCCCCGAGGUGCUGCAUGGUUGUCGUCAGCUCGUGCCGUGAGGUGUCGGCUUAAGUGCCAUAACGAGCGCAACCCCCGCGUGCAGUUGCUAACAGAUAACGCUGAGGACUCUGCACGGACUGCCGGCGCAAGCCGCGAGGAAGGCGGGGAUGACGUCAAAUCAGCACGGCCCUUACGUCCGGGGCGACACACGUGUUACAAUGGGUGGUACAGCGGGAAGCCAGGCAGCGACGCCGAGCGGAACCCGAAAUCCACUCUCAGUUCGGAUCGGAGUCUGCAACCCGACUCCGUGAAGCUGGAUUCGCUAGUAAUCGCGCAUCAGCCAUGGCGCGGUGAAUACGUUCCCGGGCCUUGCACACACCGCCCGUCA
rnacentral:rRNA from 1 species